rnacentral:lncRNA from 1 species
GGGAUCCCCAAGUAGCAGAGAUUGAGUGGCAGCACUUAACACUACAGAUAGGUGUGCCAUGCAGAAUGGGCAGUGGGAAUGAGGGGCCAGCAGACUGCUGCUGGCCACAGGGAUCUUUGGCAAUGGCUGACUGGCUAUUAUGGUGUCCUUAAGAAUGAAGUAGAUGGGCAGCCUAAUAAGUGUUGCUUUAUCUAUUUGAUGGCAGAAACUCCACCAGGUCUGGGUAGCCAGAGGUGCCACAGGGAACAGUCACAGCCUCACCCCAAUCCCGGGCCUAACCAGUUCUCAGAUUGGAAGCCCCUUGAUUGAAUCCUCUCGAGGGCGGCUGCACUGUCACAAGUGCAGAUCAUGAAUCUUCUUCCAAGCUAUACCCAGAGGAACACGGAGUCACUUACAAGAGUGAUGCUACACAGAGGAAAAGGAAAUAUUGAGACCCUUCAGGAUAUUCUGACUAUGAAUUGAUGUUAAUUUCUGGGGAUCCAAAAUACCACUGGGAUCUGUGCAUCAAAGUGAGGGCUUAUAGCACUUAGGUAAUAAAUGGAGAAUUAAGCCAAGCUCAAAUCAUGGUGGUCCCUGUAGGUCUGUGGACUCAUGCUGUGGUUAUCUCUCCAUUUCCAGAAUAUAAAAUUUAUAAUGUACAUACUUGGCAAUGGGCAGAAUUGUUUAGUUCUUUCUGAUGGGAAGUCCCUGGAACAUCCUUCCCUAUCAGGAUAGUAAACCAAAAGCUUAACCACAGUCCUGACUCUGAAUGGAUGUAAGUUCCACCAUCGAAUAUGGAUAGAUGUGGGUGAUACUCACCACAUGCUGUGAUCCUAUUAACUCACCUGUUGGGGCUGUGGAUGGAUCCUGGGGAAUGAAGAUGGGCUGUUUUCUGCUUAAUCAAGUGGUGAGUUCAAUUGCUGCUGCUAUUCCAGGUGUGGAAUUUUAUUAUGGAGCAAAUCAACAUGACCCUUAAUAUUGGAACGCAGCUAUCGACCAGAUAAAUACCUUCUCACUAGACCCAUUUGCAAGCACAGUCAGCAGAUGUUUGCUUUUACCUGACAAUGCCAAAUGACACCUGCCUGAUACGUCUUGAGAAUUUGUUCUUCCUCUGGAAACCUGUCUUUACUCGUGAGGUCUUCAGAACAGACCAGAGAAUGGGCUCUGUAAAAUGGUGAGGAUGGAAAGAAGAAACCAAUCUGCUGUGCACCUGUGUAUAGAGCAUCCGGCAGUUCUAGGUGCAAUGUUUUAAGGGGAAGACUUACACUAUGAAGCUAGCCCAGAAGAGGGUGACUAGAGUACUGAGGAGUUUCUACCUGGAAGGGCUGUAAGACAACUGCUAUGUUGUGAGCGGCUCUAUGGAGAGGCCCAUGUGGAGGGAAGUGAGGAAGGCCUCUGGCCAACAGUCCAGGAGGAAGUGAAGCCCUCAGUCCAACAGCCUGUGUGGAACUGAACCCUGCAAACAACUCUGUGUGUGAGCUUGGAAGUGGAUCCAUAUUCAGUCAAACCUUGAGAUGGGACACCAUGCUCUGCUAACACUUGAUUGUGGUCCCAGCUAGGCCACUGCUGAAGUCUUGACUCAGAGAAACGAUGAUAUAGUAAAUGUUUGUUGUUUCAAGUUGGUAAGUUUUGGGAUAAUUUUUUAUAUAGUGAUAAUUUUUUAUAUACUUUAAAAUAACACAUUGCCCUAUCCUUUGGUUACACUUUUCUCUUGGAACUCUGCUUGCCCAUAUAUUACAGAAAUAUUUUUCAGAUCAUGGGCUGAAAGGUGGAUUAUGGAUGCAAUGUUUAAAUUUAGCAAUGUCAUUUAUGACUGUUCAUAUGAGCUUUGCUGCAUAAAAUGUUGAUAUUAAUUUGUUUCCCUUUAAGACAUUCUUAAUGUUUACCUCUCAGUAUUUUCUUUGUAAUCAAUUAAUGUAAGAUGAAUAUAGUUUGUAGGUUUUACCUUUCUUGAUUCGUAUACAAAACACACAACAUCCAACCAUUGUUAUUUAAAGAUUAUCUAGGAGGAGAUGAUGGAAACUCUGUUUUGGGCCACCUUCUUUACACAUUGGGUCUAUUUCCCCUAACUUGAGUAUAUAUUAAACUAGUGGGGGAUUGAGCUACAAAAAUGCUACUUGGUGAGAAUUUUAUUAAUACAAAUACUCAACUCUGAAGUUACGUUUUUGUGGAAAGUUAUCACUUUGGAAUUUGAAUUUUCUUGGAGCUAAGCCACUGGUAGUUGUAAAAGCUACACCUGUAAAUUUGCUCCCUAGAAGAUACUUUCGUUUAGUGACCACUUGUUUCUCUGUGGAUAAAUUCAAUUAUAAAUUACAAUCGAAUUGACGUUUUCAUAGCAUCCUUCACUCUCCAAGUAUCUCAAGUCCUCUGUGAAUUAUAAAGUAAUUACAGUGCUCAAAGGACAGUUUCAUAAUUGUGUCCAUGAGCACAGACUUUCCUCUAUGUUCGAGAAGGGCUCAUUCCCAGCCGGGAACAUUAAGUUGGAUUUUAUUGAGACUGGGGACUGCUAGUCCAGACAGCUGGGUGAUCCCCUGCGCUAUUUUGAAAAGUAUCCUGGGAUCUUUAAUUUCCACCUGGAUGGUCAGGGAGGUGAGAGAACGGCCCUCACUGGGUGUGACCUUGUAUCCCACUUGGGGUCUUGAACCAGGGGACCCCCAACCCCAGAGGUGAGACAUGCAAUAUGGUCAAUUAUACAACCUCUUAAUUAUUUUUUGCUGAAUCUCAAGUGAGUUCUCAUGGCCUGCUCUCUCCCGGGUGGGUUCAGAAGGUGGCCAAGAAGAAAUGUUAGAAAAUUCCCAGAGAGCCAUUUCAUGAGAAUGUUUUCUUUGGUUUAUACCUGAUACUGUUUUGUUUUUGUUGUUGCUUUUUAAUAACUUUUUUUUCUUUUUGUGGGGUCAUUUGCGUAAUACACAGGUGACGAACACUCAAGGUUAUUUGGUCGCAUGCCACCAAAUAACUUUCCUUUGGCACAUCUGCAGUGAAGGAGUCUUUCUGUCUGUCUCCUUUUGUUCCUCAUCAUCUAUUAGCUUGGCACAGCUGACUGAGCUGUUAAAUGAUUACUGCAUAUUUUGUACCUCACCUUGAGAGGCUUUGGUAUAAAAAGGUGCUAAUUAAGCUGAAGCUUCUGGCCCUCUUGCCUAUGUGGGCCCCAGGAAGCGAAGCAAAAAGACUUUAGGGAGCUGGAGCUUGUGUGUGUGUGUGUGUGUGUGUGUGUGUGUGUGUGUGUGUGUGUGUGUGUGUGUGUUUCGUUUUCAGCAUUUUGAGGAAUUGUUACUGGAACUUAUAAAAUAAUUGUUUUAGACCUUAUAAACACAGCAAAUUCUUCAAACUACGUAUGAGGCUGACUCAAAAAGCCACGUAAAGGUAGCUUGGCGAAUCAACUAACUGCUGACCAGUUUGUGGUGAUCGUAAGUCUAUAUAUGCUGGAUUUGGCGAUCGUAAGUCUAUAUAUGCUGGAUUUGAAUAUUUUCUGUAUUUAAAGAAAAAUAAGUACAUUCUAAGAAUAGUUGUCAUCUCCCUCUGUAGACUUGCCCCGUAGAUAUUUGAAAUGGGGAUUAACAUAUUUAAGAGUAGCAGGAAGUGCUAUUUCAUCAGUGUCUAGAAUGGGAGGCGAAUUCAGUCCCUGCCUGGACUUGUUGACUAGCUCGCUGGGUUGUGAAAACCACGGCAUUCUCCUGGGAAUUUGUUCCAGGGCACUGACUGCAUUUCUUCUGAAGCUAAAGCACUUAGCUUUGCUUCCAUGCCUUUUAAUAUAAUUUGUAGGCUUCAGCAGAUUUCUAAAGUACACCACUUGAUAUCUUUCACAGCUCAAGGUAAAUUCUGCAGCACGAACUUAUAGAAUUUUUUUCUUUUACCUGGGGUGAGAACAUACCUUUUCCUAGUGCUAUUUUUUUUUUCUGGGCUACCUUUCAUCUGUUUACAUGAAUUCCACUUCUUCUCGCUGUGUUAAAGAAAUCCCCUAAGCUGUCUACAUAGGUGUGAAACUUUUGGUUGUGAUUUCCUUGAAGUUAGUUGGAACUGGAACAUUUUUUUCUGUGUCCUGAAUGGCUCACACAUUCCCUAACACAGAAUGGAUACUCAGCGAACAGUUGUUGAAUCAGUGAACGGUAAUGGCUCAGUUCUGUCAGACAAUGGAUUGAAUUAUUUUUACACCUUUAAUUCACUCAUGGACUGAAUUAACCUACUCAUGGGCUGUUUGGGGCAUCAAGUGAUAUUUAUACAUUUCUGAAGAAUGUGGAAUCACCAGGGUUAACAGUGUUUGCAGGUGGCGUUCGAUUGCAGGGGCCCAAGGAACCACGGCUGAAUUCCGCAUGGACAUAGGCCAUUUUCCACCAGCAAAGUUAUGAGAACUUUUUUUGUUUUGGUAACUGAUGUGAAAUUUUCAGUUCCGAAUGACAUCCAGAAACUCUCCUUCUGCAGCAGAUGAAUGUUUUGAGGGAAUUUGAGAGGAGGGUUUGUCUUUUAUCUCUCACCUGCACGAGGACACUUGCAGUCUCUUAAGAGAUGUUCUCUUUUUGAAAUGGUGGAAGGACAGAAGCAUCAGCCAGCCCGUUCAUGCUUGGGGACAGAGAGGGAGCUCAGAGCUUAGGGGAGCACAGGUCACUCUAAUGAAUGACAGCUGUAAUAAUAAAGACAUGCCAUCCAUGCUACUUUUUGCAGAAACCAGAAACAUCCUUGUGAAAGUUAAAGGGAAAAGAAAAACGUGUACUUUGAGGGGGGUGUUAACGGGGGACAGGAGGUGGCGACAUAAAAGACUGGUUUAAUGUGUCUCGUUGUAGCCCCUAAGGCUUUACCUGACCCCAUCACUGUCACAACACCUUCUUCGGGACUGACAGUCUUGGUAAUUGAUGGGUUGGUGGGGGCUUUUUUCUGCAAACACAUUAAGGCAGGAGGGAAUACUCUGGCCCCCACCUCCCCACGCCUGGCACGGGGGACCUGGAGGCGAGCAGACACCAGGCCCGGCGGUGUUGGGGGCAGAAGGGAUCAAUUCUGUCAACCAGACUGCCCAGCUACUGUCAGGCACUGGGACCCUUCACCUGCUCCUUGGAGUCAUUAGAACUCCCAAAUCUCUUUGCAGGCCUUUUCUAUUAGACACAUACUCCCAUGUUUUGAUUUUUUGCUCCCAAAGUCAUUUUUUUAAAUAAUUACCUGCAUCGAACCACACUUACCAUCUGUGGGCUGAGAGCGGGCAAAUGAUUUAUUAGUCUUGGUUUCUAACGGUGCUGAGCAGCUUGGGAUCGAUCUUGCUGGUGACACACUCGGCAGAUGCACCGAUGGGUGGGAGGGUCAAUGUCAGGAUGAAGCUUCUUGCGGAGCUGACAUGCACGUGGGGACCCCAGGUGUGGUGUUUAGUUGGUAGACUGUGACAUUGCAAAAGUGGAGUCUCAAGCCAUGGCGGAUAACAGGCGGCAGAAAAAGCAGUGAGGGAGCUUCUUGGGAUGUUUUACUUUAAGUAGAAAGUAAAACUGUGCAUGAAAAGAGGGGACAGAGUAUGCAACCCAAAUCAUCGCCAAGGCUCUUGGUUUCUUCUGUGCACACUGCCUGCCUUGUAUCCAAGCGUUUGACUGUGCAGAGGCCAGUCAUACUGGGGGACCCUGAGCACUACCCUUGGCAUUUGGGUAUAUCCUGAUCAAUAUAGCCAUUUCCACUGCUUGACAUUAUGUUUUGGGGGCUAGUUUUUUAAAGAUCAAUGAUUGAAUUGCUGCUCGGCUGAUUGGAUAUGUCUUCUCGGAGACUCACCUGUCCUCCCCGAAGAGAUGCUGACUACACAACAGCAGUCACUGUGCUGGGCACACGGGCAGUGUUCAGGAGACGUGGCUUCCUUUCUUCUUCUUUCAUUUCUUCCUGCCCAGAACAGCAAGGCUGAGACUGAUAAUAAAAUUCCUGGAACAUGGAGAAACUCAUGUGGGGAGAAAAGAAGAAAUGUAUUGUGACUUCCAUGGGCUUUUGGCACUUUUGGACCUCCCUCCUCCUCUUUUCCAUAAAAAAUGUAUUUUAAGACAUAUUGGUAUAAAGAUGAGAUUAUUCAUAGUACAUAUUAAAAUGUUUUCCCCUACCUAAAAGUUUGUGGUUUUAUUGUCUUCUUGUUUUUAAAAUAAAUUAAAAUAUUUUCAAAGGCCGUUAGAAGAACCGUGGGCCCUGGGCUUGGUGCCUGCUGUGCCUCAUAAAUCAGGCCUGGAGAAGAGACAUCAGUGACAUUUUAGUGUCAGGUAGAAAAUGUAAAAUAUCAUGAUUGUUUUCCAAUGAUAUACUAAGUAAGACACAUAAGAUGUGUUUUAAUUUUUUUCUUGAUGUAUGCUGUUGUCUUUUAGUUAUAAAUGCUGAGUACUGUUAAAAGAUAAACUGAGGCACAAUAAAAUUUGAAGAGUUUAUUUGAGCAAACAAUGAUUUGUUACCGAAACACCAGGGGUUCAUCUGGGUCCUGCUGCUUGCCACACAGAAAGCCAAUCACUGAG